rnacentral:misc_RNA from 1 species
GAUGAAGAACGUAGCGAAAUGCGAUAAGUAAUGUGAAUUGCAGAAUUCAGUGAAUCAUCGAAUCUUUGAACGCACAUUGCGCCCAUUAGUAUUCUAGUGGGCAUGCCUGUUCGAGCGUCAUUAAGUCCACUUAAGCCUAGCUUAGUGUUGGGAGACUGCUCCAGUGGUGCUACCCUGUAGCUACCCUGCAGCUCCUUAAAGACAGCGGCGGAGUCGUGUUAUCCUCUGAGCUUAGUAAAUCAUUCUAGCUUUCGAGAGUAUCACUUCACCUGCCGUUAAACCUCCUAAUUUUUAUGGUUGACCUCGGAUCAGGUAGGAAUACCCGCUGAACUUAAGCAUAUCAAUAAGCGGAGGA